GUGCCAGCCGCCGCGGUAAGACGAACCGUGCGAACGUUAUUCGGAAUCACUGGGCUUAAAGCGCGUGUAGGCGGGGCGGAACGUCGGUCGCUGAAAUCCCCCGGCUCAACCGGGGAAGUGGCGCCGAUACGACCGCCCUGGAGCGACGUAGGGGGAACUGGAACUUCCGGUGGAGCGGUGAAAUGCGUUGAGAUCGGAAGGAACGCCCGUGGCGAAAGCGAGUUCCUGGACGUCGGCUGACGCUGAGACGCGAAAGCCAGGGGAGCGAACGGGAUUAGAAACCCCAGUAGUCC
rnacentral:rRNA from 1 species